AAUGAACGCUGGCGGCAGGCCUAACACAUGCAAGUCGAACGGAUCCUUCGGGAUUAGUGGCGGACGGGUGAGUAACGCGUGGGAACAUACCCUUUGGUACGGAAUAGCCUCGGGAAACUGGGAGUAAUACCGUAUGUGGUCGAGAGACGAAAGAUUUAUCGCCAAAGGAUUGGCCCGCGUUGGAUUAGGUAGUUGGUGGGGUAAUGGCCUACCAAGCCGACGAUCCAUAGCUGGUUUGAGAGGAUGAUCAGCCACACUGGGACUGAGACACGGCCCAGACUCCUACGGGAGGCAGCAGUGGGGAAUCUUAGACAAUGGGGGAAACCCUGAUCUAGCCAUGCCGCGUGAUCGAUGAAGGCCUUAGGGUUGUAAAGAUCUUUCAGGUGGGAAGAUAAUGACUGUACCACCAGAAGAAGCCCCGGCUAACUCCGUGCCAGCCGCCGCCGUAA
rnacentral:rRNA from 1 species